CCCAGAGGAGAGAGCCGCGUUGCUAGGGGCAACGGGGCCGGUACAUCGCACUUAGAGUGCGGUGACGUCAUCAGGAGGCGCCCGGAGUUUCCCGCGUGGCUAAAAGGCCCCCAAUCAGGGCUGCCUUUCCAACUGCCUGAGUCGCCGUCCCCGAGUCAUAAUUUCUUUCCCCUUUUAUACAUAAAGGGCCACAAGAGUUAACAUUGUUGUAGUCCCCCUACAGCCCCCAGAAGGCCAGGUUUGGGGGGAUUCUGGGAGUCAUAGUCCCAGACAAAGGGGUCUGGCUCCUUUUUGGACAGAGCUGGGUUGGAGCGGGAUGGAAAGAAAGAGUUACUUUUUAAAGGGGGGACUAUAAAUCCCAGAAUGCAGCUCCUGGAGGUUCUGGGAAAUGUAGCCCCUCCAAAGUAACUUUUCCAAGCUCCAAGGAAAGGAUGUCAGCAGCGGAGAAGGAGGAGGAGAGGGAAACCACGUGGGAAGCCAUUCCCAAGCGCUGCUUCAGUGUCUGCAAGGAUGCGUCCGGACGAGGGAGCUGCAGAAAGCGCGGCCCAAAGGCACCGUUUCUGCGAAACCCAGGCGUCCGGAGAGCAAGGCCUUGCAGCCAGAGGACAAAAGCGGUUCAAAGGAGGCGUCCAGAAAAAAAAAGCAGCAAGUUUGCAGAAAGGGGGGGAAGAAGAAGCAGCAGGAAGAUGACAAUUUGGCAGAAGCGGACGGAGGCUUUUCCUGUUGGUCAAGGUUUUCAGAGGGGUCAGCGUGGCCGAAUUCUCUUCCCGGCUGACCCCCGGCCAAAGGAAAGGGACGCUGAAGGACUCUGAGUGAGAGAAGAUCCAGCGGUGAGUUUUUGGGGGUCUUCCAGUCCAUCUGAGUUGAUAAUAAAGGG